rnacentral:rRNA from 1 species
GAUGAACGCUGGUGGCGUGCCUAAUACAUGCAAGUCGAGCGAACGGACGAGAAGCUUGCUUCUCUGAUGUAGCGGCGGACGGGUGAGUAACACGUGGAUAACCUACCUAUAAGACUGGGAUAACUUCGGGAAACCGGAGCUAAUACCGGAUGAUAUUUUGAACCGCAUGGUUCAAAAGUGAAAGACGGUCUUGGUGUCACCUAUAGAUGGAUCCGCGCUGCAUUAGCUAGUUGGUAAGGUAACGGCUUACCAAGGCAACGAUGCAUAGCCGACCUGAGAGGGUGAUCGGCCACACUGGAACUGAGACACGGUCCAGACUCCUACGGGAGGCAGCAGUAGGGAAUCUUCCGCAAUGGGCGAAAGCCUGACGGAGCAACGCCGCGUGAGUGAUGAAGGUCUUCGGAUCGUAAAACUCUGUUAUUAGGGAAGAACAUAUGUGUAAGUAACUGUGCACAUCUUGACGGUACCUAAUCAGAAAGCCACGGCUAACUACGUG